rnacentral:rRNA from 1 species
CGCGUGAGGAACCUGCCUUUCAGAGGGGGACAACAGCUGGAAACGGCUGCUAAUACCGCAUAACACAUAGGUGUCGCAUGGCAUUUAUGUCAAAGAUUUAUCGCUGAGAGAUGGCCUCGCGUCUGAUUAGCUAGUUGGUAGGGUAACGGCCUACCAAGGCGACGAUCAGUAGCCGGACUGAGAGGUUGGCCGGCCACAUUGGGACUGAGAUACGGCCCAGACUCCUACGGGAGGCAGCAG